rnacentral:antisense_RNA from 1 species
CUUCAGCGAGCCGAGCAGCAGCGGUUGCCCGUCCGCGCGGUCCUGCCCGUAGGUGGCCAGCAGGGCCUGGGCCUC